rnacentral:rRNA from 1 species
UACGUAGGGUGCGAGCGUUAAUCGGAAUUACUGGGCGUAAAGCGUGCGCAGGCGGUUAUUUAAGUCAGGUGUGAAAGCCCUAGGCUUAACCUAGGAAUUGCGCUUGAGACUGGAUAGCUUGGAGUGCGGCAGAGGGAGGUGGAAUUCCACGUGUAGCAGUGAAAUGCGUAGAGAUGUGGAGGAACACCGAUGGCGAAGGCAGCCUCCUGGGCCAGCACUGACGCUGAGAAGCGAAAGCAUGGGGAGCGAACAGG